rfam:Halobiforma nitratireducens JCM 10879 contig_119, whole genome shotgun sequence.
CCUGUUCGGCAACCGACGCCGCCACAGGCCGGGAUGUGAUCCGCGGGGCCCCGCCCCGUUGGGAUUGAACCAGGAA